GGAUGCGAUCAUACCAGCAGUAAAGCACCGGAUCCCAUCAGAACUCUGAAGUUAAGCGUGCUUGGGCGAUAGUAGUACUAGGAUGGGUGACCUCCUGGGAAGUCCUCGUGUUCCAUUCC
rnacentral:rRNA from 1 species